CCUACGGGAGGCAGCAGUGGGGAAUAUUGCACAAUGGGCGCAAGCCUGAUGCAGCAACGCCGCGUGAGGGACGACGGCCUUCGGGUUGUAAACCUCUUUUAGUAGGGAAGAAGCGAAAGUGACGGUACCUGCAGAAAAAGCACCGGCUAACUACGUGCCAGCAGCCGCGGUAAUACGUAGGGUGCAAGCGUUGUCCGGAAUUAUUGGGCGUAAAGAGCUCGUAGGCGGUUUGUCGCGUCUGCUGUGAAAACCCGAGGCUCAACCUCGGGCCUGCAGUGGGUACGGGCAGACUAGAGUGCGGUAGGGGAGAUUGGAAUUCCUGGUGUAGCGGUGGAAUGCGCAGAUAUCAGGAGGAACACCGAUGGCGAAGGCAGAUCUCUGGGCCGUAACUGACGCUGAGGAGCGAAAGCAUGGGGAGCGAACAGGAUUAGAUACCCUGGUAGUCCAUGCCGUAAACGUUGGGAACUAGAUGUAGGGACCAUUCCACGGUUUCUGUGUCGCNGCUACGCAUACGUUCCCGUCCGUCGGGUAGGUACGGCCGCGACGACGUAAACGUUAAAGUAAGUAGUUAGUUACGGCGUGAGACGUGCCGACGGCGACGACGAGGGAGGAGG
rnacentral:rRNA from 1 species